rnacentral:lncRNA from 1 species
GAGGAGGGAAAGCCCGGCUUCCGAAGACCCCUGGAAAAAGACUCGUUGAGCGUGCAAAAAACGACUUUGUUUCCACUGGGCCAGGUAUAUUCUGAAGCCUGCAGAGCGUCCAUCAGGGGCUGCCCAGGGCCGGGAAGAGCGCGCCUUCUCUUUGUUACAGAACUAGCCACCCGCAACCCCGCGGACCCCUAGGAGACUGCCCUUGCAGCUCACAGCCGACCAGCUGUUGGAACGUGUCUCAUAUGGGAAGAAAUGCUUGCAGUUUCAAAGGUCCAGCCCAUGGGCUCAGACGCUGCCGCACAGCUCAGAACUCUGAAACUCUUGAUUCUACCCUGCUGUGUGCCUGGGAUUUGACCUGCCUCUCAUAUGGAGAGAAGCUACCUGAGUGCAGGAAAUAGCCUUGACUGUAGCCUCAGUCACUAGCUGGAGCCCAGGUCCAGCUCCCAGGAUGCCAGUGUUCCCUAAGAACUCCGUUUCAGAACCACUGAACUAGAAUUUGGAAUUUAAAACGCUAGUCCUGACUAAAGGACAGAUGCAUCCUUUCCUGGGAGAGAAGGAGCCUUGUGGAGCCACUGGAACAGAACCUGUGGGUUGGAUGUGUGUACCCUCUGCGGACCUCACAGGCACAUUGUCACCCCCAGAGGAUACCCAGCCUCAUGAGGCUGCAUUCCAGGGCUCAGUUAUUUGAGCUUGUUUGAAACCUUGGAUGGCACUUACUGGCUGGCAAGAUGGUUGCUGUCCACGGGUUUAAUAUUGGUCAGUGUGAAUAUCGUCCAUCAACAUCCAAGUUGAUGUUAUUUUAUGCAAGAAGCUUUCUCCGAUUUCCUCACCUAGAAGUAAUCUUUUCUUCCUCCAAAUUUCAUCACACGUGAUUUCUACCUCCACAUCAUCCAUUGCUUUCUAAACUUGUAUUAUUUACACACACAUCUUAUCUCCGUUCCCAAACUGUGGUUCCUGAAUAAGUGUCCAUUCUUCUCUUCACACAGGCAACCCUAUUCAAAUCUCACAACCAGCCCCCGCCCACCAUGAGUAGGUGUUUUAUCUCCGCUUCACAACUGGAAGGGACCCCAGAGGUUCGUAGUAUUGGGUAGAGUAGAUUAAGAUCUAGUAUCUCGUAUAGUAGAUCUUUAGUAGGUCACUCUGAACUCGGUCUGCCCUCCUCAUUCCUGGGCCACAGCAUCCCCCAACCCUGCUUCCUACAUGCUGUAGGCAGUACCAGUGCAGUAGAAGCUUGUUAAAUGAGUUCAUUGAUCUGAGAUACAACAGAAGGCUGGUCAGCUGGGAGCAGAUCAAGUCUCUGAUACCUUCUCUGACCUACAGCAUUAGGAUGGUAAGACUAAACCAGGGGAUAUGGUAGGCUUAGAUCUGCCUCCAGACCACUAUCAGACCAAGUCUGACCAGUGCUAAGAUAAGCAACAUUAGAGUUAACCUAGGACACUGCUUCACAAUUGUAACGGAAACCUACCUAAGACCGAUAACUUCCUAAGGAAGAGUGGUGACACAUCUCAAAGAACUGAAUUAUGUAACUCUUUGAACUUUGGUGUUGUGUUUGUUUGGGGGUGGGGGAAAGGCAGAUCUAUAUGUAUCUUCUAGGUUUGUUGUGAGCUUUAAUGAGAUACUGCGAUGUGCCCAGUACAGUACACAGUAGGAAUUCCACAUGUAUAAGCGUUGCCCUCCACCCUACCCUCAUUUCCCACUUUGCAGCUAAACUCAGAGAAGGCACAAAGCCAGAGGAAAGAUGAAUGGAUGACAGCUGGCAGUGAGAGAGAUGCUAGUCAAAUUCCACGGGAUUAAGUGGCUGCACAUCAGAGGUAGCAGGGUCCACUCCCAAGAUUCCAAGGAGCAGCUUUCAGUCUCAAAAGAAAGGCUAGUUAGGCGAGGAAUGGUGAGAGGUCUCCUGGACUUUACGUGGUCCUUGGUGGCAGAGGGUGAGAUUGGUUCUUGGGAUGCCUCCACUGUAAUAAGUGAUAUUUUGUUGGCCAAGAUUGGAUUAGCCCAAGGGUAUUUAGCAAUCUAUGGAUCUAUGAUCUUGUAUCUUGCUGGGUCCUCUGCUCUUUACUGAGGAAUUAGAAGAUUAAUUGCAGGCACCUGCCAGUCUGGUCAUCCCAUGUAAUAUAACCAACCCUGGAAGUUUCCUCUCACAUUCCAGAAACUGCUCAGUCUCCUGCCUCUGUGAAGUUUGCCCAUCUGUCUGGAAAAAAGGCAGUUCAGGCCAUCUUUUCCCCAAGAAAUAGAAAAAGCCAAUCUUCAAGCUAGAAAUUUGUCCUAAGUGGAGUUCCCACUGUGGCUGAUAUCCAUAAGGAUACAAGUUUGAUGCCUGACUCUGCUCAAUGGGUUAGGGAUCCAGCAUUGCCCUCACGGCAACCCUGGAUCCUUAACCCACUGAGCAAGGCCAGGGAUCAAACCCACAACCUCAUGGUUCCUAGUUGGAUUCGUUAACCACUGAGCCACGACGGGAACUCCCCAACAGAUGUCUUUUUGAAUUGAAUAGCAUUUCAUUGGUUUGCAGUUUCUGACUGAGGGAUCCAUUGGCACUCUUUGCAGAAAAUGAGGACACUUUUCUUGUAGUAUACCUGCACCAAAAUGCUCAUGUAGGUCUAAUUGUAUGGAGGUCUAAAAGUCUUAUGCAUAAAAUUUGUCAAGCCCCAGGAAGAAAAGGUAAGAUGAGAGUUAAUUAGACCUUGGAAAAACAAAACAAAAAACAAAAGAAACCUCAUUUAAUCCAGUGGUUCUCUCUGUGGCUGACCCUUUAUAUUCUCAUAGCAUUUGCCUUGUAUAUAUCACUUAGCAUCUAUCUUAUGUUAAAGGGCUUUUUGGUUUUGUUUGUUUGCUAUUAAAGUUUGUUCUAUCAGGUUGUAAAUACCUGGAGAGGAAGAUCUCAAGAUGCCCGCUCUUGUUUUCUUCACAGUUAGGGAUGAUAUUUAAGAUAGUUAACACCUGGUAAAGCACAGGAACCAACCAAUGCAAAUGGAUCCUGGUCCACGCAAUCUGCAUGGCCAUACUGGUGUGUACAACUGGAUGUCUUUUCUGCACACAGAAGGCUGCCCAUAAAUGAUUGUUGGGUUGAAUUUAAUUGGCUUGGUAGCCCUGGCCCUACCAUCUAAUGGUCUUCUUUCAGAAGUCAGGCUACUUUUUCUUGCCAAAAUAUGACCAUAACAGGAGUUCCCUGAUGGCCUAGCAGUUAAGGAUCCAGCAUUGUCACUGCUGUGGCACAGGUUUGUUCCCUGGCCUGGCAACUUCUGCAUGCUGUGGGUAUGGCCAAAAACAAACAAACAAAAAUGACCAUAACAGUUUUUCCUCCUUGAUUUAAUCCUACAGGAAUCUUUGAGUAAUUUUGAAAAACUUUGUCAGAAAUAGGACAAUCCAUUCAUACCUGCAUUGUCCAACAUGGCAACCACUAGCCACAGGUGUAAGGUUCCUAGAUAAAAUAUAGGACACGCAGUUAAAUUUGAAUUUAAGAUAAAUAAAGAAUAAAUUUGUAGUGUAAAUGUAUCCCAUGAAAUAUUUGGGAUAUAAACUACAAAAUGAUCUGUUGCUUAUCUAAAAUUAAUAAUUAACUGGGAAUCCUUUUUUAAAAUCUCCUAAACCUGGGAACCCUGGACUGUGGCUAUAUAAACUUAAUUAAAAUUUAAUACAAAUUAAAAAAAAUUUUCUCAGCCUCACUAGCCAUAAUUCAAGAGCUCCAUAGCAGAGUUCCCGUCAUGGCUCAACAGUUAACAGAUCUAACUAGCCUCCAUGAAGACACAGGUUUGAUCCCUUGGCCUUGCUCAGUGAGUUAAGGAUCUGGCAUUGCUGUAAGCUGUGAUGUAGGUCGCAGAUGCGGCUUGGAUCCUACAUUGCUGUGGCUGUGGUGUUGCCUGGCACCUACAGCUCUGUUUGACCCCUAGGCUGGGAACCUCCAUAUGCUACAGGUGCAGCCCUAAAAAGCAAAAAGCAAAAAAAAAAAAAAAAA